rnacentral:rRNA from 1 species
AUUGAACGCUGGCGGCAGGCCUAACACAUGCAAGUCGAGCGGAUGAAGGGAGCUUGCUUCUGGAUUCAGCGGCGGACGGGUGAGUAAUGCCUAGGAAUCUGCCUGGCAGUGGGGGAUAACGUCCGGAAACGGGCGCUAAUACCGCAUACGUCCUGAGGGAGAAAGUGGGGGAUCUUCGGACCUCACGCUAUCAGAUGAGCCUAGGUCGGAUUAGCUAGUUGGUGGGGUAAAGGCCUACCAAGGCGACGAUCCGUAACUGGUCUGAGAGGAUGAUCAGUCACACUGGAACUGAGACACGGUCCAGACUCCUACGGGAGGCAGCAGUGGGGAAUAUUGGACAAUGGGCGAAAGCCUGAUACAGCCAUGCCGCGUGUGUGAAGAAGGUCUUCGGAUUGUAAAGCACUUUAAGUUGGGAGGAAGGGCAGUAAGUUAAUACCUUGCUGUUUUGACGUUACCGGCAGAAUAAGCACCGGCUAACUUCGUG